AGAAAUGGCGGCUGCGGCGGCUCGAGUGGUGUUGUUACCCGCGGCGCGGCGGCGGCUCUGGGGUUUCAGCGAGAGUCUCCUAAUCCGAGGCGCUGCGGGACGGUCAUCAUAUUUUGGAGAGAACAGAUUAAGAAGUACACAGGCUGCUACCCAAGUUGUUCUGAAUGUUCCUGAAACAAGAGUAACAUGUUUAGAAAGCGGACUCAGAGUGGCUUCGGAAGACUCUGGGCUCUCAACAUGCACAGUUGGACUCUGGAUUGAUGCUGGAAGUAGAUAUGAAAAUGAGAAGAACAAUGGAACAGCACACUUUCUGGAGCAUAUGGCUUUCAAGGGCACCAAGAAGAGAUCCCAAUUAGAUCUGGAACUUGAGAUUGAAAAUAUGGGUGCUCAUCUCAAUGCCUAUACCUCCAGAGAGCAGACUGUAUACUAUGCCAAAGCAUUCUCUAAAGACUUGCCAAGAGCUGUAGAAAUUCUUGCUGAUAUAAUACAAAACAGCACAUUGGGAGAAGCAGAGAUUGAACGUGAGCGUGGAGUAAUCCUUAGAGAGAUGCAGGAAGUUGAAACCAGUUUACAAGAAGUUGUUUUUGAUUAUCUUCAUGCCACAGCUUAUCAAAAUACUGCACUUGGACGGACAAUUUUGGGACCAACUGAAAAUAUCAAAUCUAUAAGUCGUAAGGACUUAGUGGAUUAUAUAACCACACAUUAUAAGGGGCCAAGAAUAGUGCUUGCUGCUGCUGGAGGUGUUUCCCAUGAUGAAUUGCUUGACUUAGCAAAGUUUCAUUUCGGUGACUCUUUAUGCACACACAAAGGAGAAAUACCAGCUCUGCCUCCCUGCAAAUUCACAGGAAGUGAGAUUCGUGUGAGGGAUGACAAGAUGCCUUUGGCGCACCUUGCAAUAGCUGUUGAAGCUGUUGGUUGGGCACAUCCAGAUACAAUCUGUCUCAUGGUUGCAAACACACUGAUUGGCAACUGGGAUCGCUCUUUUGGGGGAGGAAUGGUAAGUGAUUUUAAAAGAAAUUUUCCAUAACAGAUGGAAGAUUAUGUUUUCUGAAAUAUAAGUUCUUUGUAAGAAUCCUUGUUUAAAGUGGCAGAAUAGAGCCUUGUACUGUGAAUUCUGACUUAAAAAUAUAAACUGAUCCUGGAUUGCAUGUGGGCCAG
rnacentral:sRNA from 1 species